rnacentral:rRNA from 1 species
ANCAAANGNANUUCCANNGNCNCCACAGAGGANCNUGCCCNNNGNGUGGCGANUGGCNNACNGNUNANGAANANCUNAGAAUCUGCCUAUUUGUGGGGGAUAACGUAGGGAAACUUACGCUAAUACCGCAUACGACCUACGGGUGAAAGUGGGGGACCCNCAGGGCCUCACGCAGAUAGAUGAGCCGACGUCGGAUUAGCUAGUUGGCGGGGUAAAGGCCCACCAAGGCGACGAUCCGUAGCUGGUCUGAGAGGAUGAUCAGCCACACUGGAACUGAGACACGGUCCAGACUCCUACGGGAGGCAGCAGUGGGGAAUAUUGGACAAUGGGCGCAAGCCUGAUCCAGCCAUGCCGCGUGUGUGAANAAGGCCUUCGGGUUGUAAAGCACUUUUGUCCGGAAAGAAAAGCUUAGGGUUAAUAACCCUGAGUCAUGACGGUACCGGAAGAAUAAGCACCGGCUAACUUCGUGCCAGCAGCCGCGGUAAUACGAAGGGUGCAAGCGUUACUCGGAAUUACUGGGCGU